GACGAACGCUGGCGGCGUGCUUAACACAUGCCAGUCGAGCGCUGAAGCUCAGCUUUUGUUGGGUGGAUGAGUGGCGAACGGGUGAGUAACACGUGAGUAACCUGCCUCCUUCUUUGGGAUAACGCCCGGAAACGGGUGCUAAUACUGGAUAUUCACUGGUCUUCGCAUGGGGGUUGGUGGAAAGGGUUUUUCUGGUGGGGGAUGGGCUCGCGGCCUAUCAGCUUGUUGGUGGGGUGAUGGCCUACCAAGGCUUUGACGGGUAGCCGGCCUGAGAGGGUGACCGGUCACAUUGGGACUGAGAUACGGCCCAGACUCCUACGGGAGGCAGCAGUGGGGAAUAUUGCACAAUGGGCGCAAGCCUGAUGCAGCGACGCCGCGUGAGGGAUGGAGGCCUUCGGGUUGUGAACCUCUUUCGCUCAUGGUCAAGCCGCAACAAUGGUUGUGGUGAGGGUAGUGGGUAAAGAAGCGCCGGCUAACUACGUG
rnacentral:rRNA from 1 species